GCGCCUGCGGCGGACCCGGCGCGGACUUUCAUACGGCUUCGCAGGCAGCCUGUCCGCGUACGGUCUUGUAGCUCCCGAAACUUUUCGGGAUUUAAUGUCUUCU
rnacentral:sRNA from 1 species